UACGAAGGGUGCAAGCGUUAAUCGGAAUUACUGGGCGUAAAGCGUGCGUAGGCGGUUUGUUAAGUCUGUUGUGAAAGCCCUGGGCUCAACCUGGGAAUGGCAAUGGAAACUGGCGAGCUAGAGUCAGGUAGAGGGUGGUGGAAUUCCCGGUGUAGCGGUGAAUGCGUAGAGAUCGGGAGGAACAUCUGUGGCGAAGGCGGCCACCUGGACCAUGACUGACGCUGAGGCACGAAAGCGUGGGGAGCAAACAGG
rnacentral:rRNA from 1 species